GUAUUUAGUCCAAUAAAGACCGCUGAUUUCGACUCA
rnacentral:tRNA from 1 species